GACGAACGCUGGCGGCGUGCUUAACACAUGCAAGUUGAACGGAAAGGCCCUGCUUUUGUGGGGUGCUCGAGUGGCGAACGGGUAAGUAACACGUGAGUAACCUGCCCUUGACUUUGGGAUAACUUCAGGAAACUGGGGCUAAUACCGGAUAGGAGCUCCUGCUGCAUGGUGGGGGUUGGAAAGUUUCGGCGGUUGGGGAUGGACUCGCGGCUUAUCAGCUUGUUGGUGGGGUAGUGGCUUACCAAGGCUUUGACGGGUAGCCGGCCUGAGAGGGUGACCGGCCACAUUGGGACUGAGAUACGGCCCAGACUCCUACGGGAGGCAGCAGUGGGGAAUAUUGCACAAUGGGCGGAAGCCUGAUGCAGCAACGCCGCGUGCGGGAUGACGGCCUUCGGGUUGUAAACCGCUUUCGCCUGUGACGAAGCGUGAGUGACGGUAAUGGGUAAAGAAGCACCGGCUAACUACGUG
rnacentral:rRNA from 1 species